AUGUGGCCUACACCACCACGGUCCGCGGAUUCCCGGACCUCCUCGAGGCCGCGUGCGCCGCCCGUCCAGAACUUGCUCUUCUCCGCCUGCCGCCUCGCCAUCAACGACCUCCCCAACCAGCUCUUCGCCUGGGAUGUCAUCCUCGUCGACGGCCCGCGCGGGUACGCGGCGUCGUCGCCGGGUCGGAUGUCGGCGAUUUCACCGCGGGCUCGGAAGGAGGAGGGCGCCUCGACGGACAUGCUGGUGCACGACUACGAGCGGGAGAUGGAGCGGGCGUGCUCCAGGGAGUUCCUGUUGCCCCUUUUCUUACUUCAUUUUGUUUUUCCCUUCGUUCGAUUUUUCACGUCGCCUGACAGGAUCCAUAAUGGCAAAGAAGUGAAAAGAAAACACAGAACAAAGGAUGAACGCCAGAGAGCACUACUGUAUAAUUCCCCCCAAAAUAUGAUGGGCAGUGGUGUGCUUGUUUCUGUUUCCAUCUCAAAUAUGGAUUACCAAUAUACUACUCUCACUUGA
rnacentral:rRNA from 1 species